UUACUUACCUGGACGGGUUCGAUAGGUAAUCAAGAACACCCAUAGCCUAGGCCAACAGCCUCCAUCACACGCAGGCGGUGGUAUGGCCUAAGGUCUGCUCAUUGUAGCAGAGCCUAGACCAUAAUUUGGGGUAGCGGGUUUCUGCCUCUGCACGGCCCCUUC